CCAUCGCCGCCGAUCUUUUCACGCCGCCACCUCUUCUUCCCUCACCGAUCUUGAUAGAUCCACCGCCACCGCCACGAGAUCUAGAGGCUUCGUUGGGUUAAUCAGUUAGAAAAAGGCUUAAAAUUUGAGAAAAAUGAGAAGAAGAUUAGACCUAGGGUUUCUUGCUCUGUUAUUACAUCAGACAAUGGCAAAGAGACUUUGGUUCCACUUGGAGGAUGCUAUAGGCUUAUAGACAUACCGAUGAGCAACUACAUCAACAGUGGCAUAAACAAGAUUUUUGUAUUGACCCAAUUCAACUAUGUUUCCCUCAACCGACACCUUGCUUGCACAUAUUUUGGAAAUGGUGUGAACUUCGGGGAUGGAUUCGUGGAGGUUCUGGCAGCCACUCGAACACCGGGGGAAGCAGGUAUGAAGUGAUUCCAAGGGAAUGCAGAUGCUGUAAGGAAAUUUAUUUGGGUGUUUGAUGUGAGCUGAAUAGAUCAAUUUUUGGGUUUUUUUUUUUUGGCAAAUAGAUUCUAUAUUUGGAGGUACUAGGAAGUUAUUUCAUCAUCUUUCAACCUUGAUAGAGGAGGAA